rnacentral:rRNA from 1 species
GAUGAACGCUGGCGGCGUACCUAAUACAUGCAAGUCGAGCGAACAGACGAGGGGCUUGCUCCUCUGACGUUAGCGGCGGACGGGUGAGUAACACGUGGAUAACCUACCUAUAAGACUGGGAUAACUUCGGGAAACCGGAGCUAAUACCGGAUAAUAUAUUGAACCGCAUGGUUCAAUAGUGAAAGACGGUUUUGCUGUCACUUAUAGAUGGAUCCGCGCCGCAUUAGCUAGUUGGUAAGGUAACGGCUUACCAAGGCGACGAUGCGUAGCCGACCUGAGAGGGUGAUCGGCCACACUGGAACUGAGACACGGUCCAGACUCCUACGGGAGGCAGCAGUAGGGAAUCUUCCGCAAUGGGCGAAAGCCUGACGGAGCAACGCCGCGUGAGUGAUGAAGGUCUUCGGAUCGUAAAACUCUGUUAUUAGGGAAGAACAAAUGUGUAAGUAACUAUGCACGUCUUGACGGUACCUAAUCAGAAAGCCACGGCUAACUACGUG